UUACGGCCACAUUACAUCGAAACAACGGUUCCUGUACGAUCAUCGAAGUUAAGCAACGUCGAGUCUGGUCAGUACCUAGGUGGAUAACCACCUGGGAAUACCAGGUUCUGUAAU